GAUGAACGCUAGCGGCAGGCCUAAUACAUGCAAGUCGAGGGGCAGCGCGGUAGCAAUACUGGCGGCGACCGGCGCACGGGUGCGUAACACGUAUGCAACCUACCUUCAACUGGAGGAUAGCCCGGGGAAACUCGGAUUAAUACUCCAUAACACAGGGAUCCCGCAUGGGAAUAUUGUUAAAGCUACGGCGGUUGAAGAUGGGCAUGCGUUCGAUUAGCUAGUUGGUGUAGGUAACGGCUCACCAAGGCUACGAUCGAUAGGGGGUCUGAGAGGAUGAUCCCCCACACUGGUACUGAGAUACGGACCAGACUCCUACGGGAGGCAGCAGUA
rnacentral:rRNA from 1 species